AUUGAACGCUGGCGGCAGGCCUAACACAUGCAAGUCGAACGAGUGGCGGACGGGUGAGUAAUGUCUGGGACACUGCCUGAUGGAGGGGGAUAACUACUGGAAACGGUAGCUAAUAACGCAUACCAUACGAUGUGCCCAGAUGGGAUUAGCGAGUUGGUGUGGUAACGGCACACCAAGGCGACGAUCCCUAGUUGGUCUGAGAGGAUGACCAGCCACACUGGAACGUAGACACGGUCCAGACUCCUACGGGAGGCAGCAGUGGGGCAUAUUGCACAAUGGGCGCAAGCCUGAUGCAGCCAUGCCGCGUGUAUGAAGAAGGCCUUCGAGUUGUAAAGUACUUUCAGCGGGGAGGCGUUACCCGCAGAAGAAGCACCGGCUAACUCCGUGCCAGCAGCCGCGGUAAUUC
rnacentral:rRNA from 1 species